UACGUAGGGUGCGAGCGUUAAUCGGAAUUACUGGGCGUAAAGCGUGCGCAGGCGGUUCGUUGUGUCGGCGGUGAAAGCCCCGGGCUCAACCUGGGAAUGGCCGUUGAAACUGGCGAACUGGAGUGUGGCAGAGGGGGGUGGAAUUCCCGGUGUAGCAGUGAAAUGCGUAGAGAUCGGGAGGAACAUCAGUUGCGAAGGCGGCCACCUGGACCAGCACUGACACUGAGGCACGAAAGCGUGGGGAGCAAACAGG
rnacentral:rRNA from 1 species